AUUGAACGCUGGCGGCAUGCCUUACACAUGCAAGUCGAACGGUAACAGGUCUUCGGAUGCUGACGAGUGGCGAACGGGUGCGUAAUACAUCGGAACGUGCCCGAUCGUGGGGGAUAACGAGGCGAAAGCUUUGCUAAUACCGCAUACGAUCUACGGAUGAAAGCGGGGGAUCUUCGGACCUCGCGCGGACGGAGCGGCCGAUGGCAGAUUAGGUAGUUGGUGGGAUAAAAGCUUACCAAGCCGACGAUCUGUAGCUGGUCUGAGAGGAUGAUCAGCCACACUGGGACUGAGACACGGCCCAGACUCCUACGGGAGGCAGCAGUGGGGAAUUUUGGACAAUGGGCGAAAGCCUGAUCCAGCCAUGCCGCGUGCAGGAUGAAGGCCUUCGGGUUGUAAACUGCUUUUGUACGGAACGAAAAGCCGCUUUCUAAUAAAGAGGGGUCAUGACGGUACCGUAAGAAUAAGCACCGGCUAACUACGUG
rnacentral:rRNA from 1 species